rnacentral:rRNA from 1 species
UACGUAGGGGGCAAGCGUUGUCCGGAUUUAUUGGGCGUAAAGAGCUCGUAGGCGGCUCAGUAAGUCAGGUGUGAAACCUCCAGGCUCAACCUGGAGACGCCACCUGAUACUGCUGUGGCUAGAGUCCGGUAGGGGAGCGUGGAAUUCCUGGUGUAGCGGUGAAAUGCGCAGAUAUCAGGAGGAACACCAGCGGCGGAAGGCGGCGCUCUGGGCCGGAACU